rnacentral:lncRNA from 1 species
CCAGGUCCGUGAGGAAGCCCUCUGGCCACCCACAGGCCCACCCUCUGGCACCUGGGGCUGCAGGCUCGGAGAUCUUCCAGAGUCCCAGUCCUUCUGCUCUAGGUGCUGGGUAAAUCCGUGCUGCUCUGGGCUGCAGGGAGCAGGCCUUGCACCUACUAAGCACCUGCUGUGUGCCCUACUCAGGUUAGGAAAUGAGUGCUUCCUUGAUGCCCUUCCUAGAGGAGAUGCCCAGGCUCCAUGGCCCUGGAGACCCUGGGCUUCUCAGACAGAGGGUCAGAGACCUACUCAGCCUGCUUCUACCUCUCCCCACAAUUAACCGAGACUCACUCCCCAGGGGGCUGUGUUUUCUGAUAGGAGAAGAAAAAGACAUGACCAAGAUUUAAUCUCUCCACUGUAUAAAGAGCACCAGAAAAUCAGUGACAACAGCAAGUCGACAGUAUCAUCAUUCAUGAGUCCUCACAGACUGUUGUCUAAAGACAGGGAAAUCCAUUCAGACCCUUAUGGAAAGACCCUUCAGGGUCACAGUCCAGCAGUUCUGUGCCAGACCCUCUGCUCUGCAGCCCCAGACAAGCUGGCUCCCCUUUCUGGUGAGUUCAGGAAGCCUGCUCCUCAGGGUGCCAGGAGCUUCUUUCUGGGAGUCAGUAGAGCACAGUUAUUUGUUUUAAAACUGCUGUCAAAGGAGAAGGAAAUGAAACUGACAAAAUUAGAGGCUUCAGCCCUGGCCCCUUGCUCCCUUUCUGUGUGACCUGAUGAAGGAGCUUACCCUCUCUGAGCCUGUUUCCCCUUCAGUCACACAUGGAGAAAAACAGUGCCCACAUCCUCCACAUACCUGUCACUGCAGGUGAUACUGGUCCCAGCCCCACAGGCACAGGGCUGCCAGAGGUUUUCCACGUCUCUGCCUCUGAGCUCCCCAUGAGCUGGGGAAGGUGGGAGCAACACAGACCAGGGUACCCUGGUGCUGACUGCACCAUCCUCGGUCUGAGCCCUGGGGACCCUGACACACCAGACAGCCUAGAAGGCCACCAAGGUCAGCACUGAACUAUGUUUAUGCUCUGCAGAUGACCAGGAGCAUGUGUGCAGCGAAGGGCACUAAGAGGUGGCCAGACCAAAGACAGGUGCUGCAGCCUCCGGACACUGCCCCCAGGGCCUCCCACAGCAGCAGCCCCAGGUCCUGCAGGUGGGGGCUUUGUCCUGACCCUUGGGAGCCCCAUGUACAGCUC